CUGGAAUGAUGUGAAUUAGCCAAAUCAGACAAUAAUGUGCUCCGUGACGCAACCAACUUCGUUUGUUUGGAUCAUGUUGAAGUGCGUUUCUCUGAUGAUAAACAAAGAGAUUGGUUUUUCUAUUCCUGACCAGA